GGACAGACACACACAGCAGGAUAUGCAUGUUCAGCUGGACGAGGGGAUCCGCUGAUUUACACACAACACAGUCGUCCCACAUUCGUCUGGUCUUCAGGUGUUCAUCCAUCAGCGUCUCUCACAGUGAAUCCUGACAGAGUCCAACACUUCACCUCUGAAUCUCUCUCACUGACAUGUGAAGGAAGCUCUUCCCAGUGGAGGCUGAUCCGCUUUCUGACUGACGACUCGCUGUUGAGCUUUCUUCCUCCAGCUACAAUCAAUGGAUCAACAUAUAUUAAGAAUGAGGCUCCAAGAAAAGCUGUGUACUGGUGUGAGUCUGGAACAGAGUUCAGCAAUGCAGUCAAUAUCUCCACACACUCUGAUGGCGUUAUCCUGGUGAGCCCUGUGUAUCCUGUACCUGUGGGAGAGUCUGUAACUCUCCUCUGUGUCAUGAAGACUGGAAAUAUUCCCUCUGAUGUGU